rnacentral:rRNA from 1 species
UGACGAGUGGCGGACGGGUGAGUAAUGCUUGGGAACUUGCCUUUGCGAGGGGGAUAACAGUUGGAAACGACUGCUAAUACCGCAUAAUGUCUACGGACCCAAAACGGGGCUUAGGCUCCGGCGCAAAGAGAGGCCCAAGUGAGAUUAGCUAGUUGGUAAGGUAAAGGCUUACCAAGGCAACGAUCUCUAGGGUUCUGAGAGGAAGAUCAGCCACACUGGAACUGAGACACGGUCCAGACUCCUACGGGAGGCAGCAGUGGGGAAUAUUGCACAAUGGGGGAAACCCUGAGCAGCCAGCCGCGUGUGUGAAGAGCCUUCGGGUGUAAAGCACUUCAGUUGUGAGGAAAAGUUAGUAGUAAACCGCAGCCGGACUACCACCGAAG